AGGAAUGUGCCCGAAAUUUAAGGACUACUUUGAUAGAGUACGACACAGGGGUUAAAACCCCCUCAUUCCC
rnacentral:tRNA from 1 species